CCUACGGGUGGCAGCAGUGGGGAAUAUUGGUCAAUGGGCGCGAGCCUGAACCAGCGAAGUAGCGUGAAGGAUGACUGCCCUACGGGUUGUAAGCUUCUUUUAUAGAGGAAUAAAGUGCGGCACGUGUGCCUUUUUGUAUGGACUUUAUGAAUAAGGAUCGGCUAACUCCGUGCCAGCAGCCGCGGUAAUACGGAGGAUCCGAGCGUUAUGCGGAUUUAUUGGGUUUAAAGGGAGCGUAGAUGGGUUGUUAAGUCCGGUGUGAAGGUUUGCGGCUCAACCGUAAAAUUGCAAUUGAUACUGGAAGCCUGGAGUACAGUUGAGGUAGGUGGAAUUCGUGGUGUAGCGGUGAAAUGCUUAGAUAUCACGAAGAACUCCGAUUGCGAAGGCAGCUUACUAAACUGCAACUGACAUUGAUGCUCGAAAGUGUGGGUAUCAAACAGGAUUAGAUACCCUGGUAGUC
rnacentral:rRNA from 1 species